ensembl:lncRNA
GCCCCCUCCUUCUUGCCAAAGGACCCAUCCCCAUAGACUGAUCUUGGGGUAGCAGGAAGGACCCUCUUGCCAACCCCACCCCCACCCCCCCAGUUCUACUAUGUCUUCCAGCUGUGACUGCAGAGGGGGUCUGGUAUGAAACAAAAAAAGACAAAACCAAACCCGAUAUAUGCAAUAUUUGUCUGUCUGUACCUGUAAGGUCUAGCUCAGCCACGGAGGCCCGGCCGAGGGGUUGGGGCCAGGGGGCACCGCGUCAUAGGCCCCGUCCAAGGGGCCGGCCAUUGCUGUUGUCUUCUCUUCGGUUUUAUUUUCUCGUUUCCCUUUUUGCCUUCUUUUUCUUUCUCUCUUUCCUUUUUAAACUUUUCCUCCAAUUUUCUCUGCCUUUAACUCUACCAAAGCCGAGACAGUAGCAGUCAGUGAAGUGUCCAGGCAAGAGACCCCGAGGCCGGGUCCACCAACCUUGGGCCCAUCCCUCCUCGCCAUCUCCGGCCCUCCCGGUCCCUAGGCCCCUCAAACAUCUCCUGUCAGCGUACGCUUGGUGGGCAGUCCCCAUUCGCUCCCCGGCCACCACCUUGGAUGUUAGGAUUGUCUCCAGAGCUGGGUGGGGCCUUGCAGCCAGACCCUGGCUUUCAUCUGCCACUCUGCUCACGCCAUGUUUUCUUCUGAAAAGACACCUCAGCCAGCCCCAGGGUCAGGGGCAGAGACCCGGCCCUGGCCUUGACCCUGCCCUUGAGAACGGCCCUUUGGCCCAAGAGCCCAAGGCCCUGUUUGUCAGUUUCCAUAGGGCCCAUUUCCAGCUUUCAUCCCCCCAGCCACCAGGGAAGUGGGGACAGCCAGUGGCACAGGGGAGUGGGUGGCACGUCCCUAUGGGACCCCUCCUCCAUAGGCUCACCUCGAACCAUGGUGUCCCUCAUGCCUGCACCCCACAGCACCCUGGGCCUCAGAGCCCCUCCCUUCCUUGCCUGCUGUGCGUCAGAAUAAGGCAGAAACACUAGGAAUCAGGCUCCCACCUGCCAAUGCGGUUGGGGUUCACGCCCUGGGAGGGAGGUGGGCAGGGUGUUGGGUGUUUUUGGGUUUUGUUUUUUUUUGACACUUAUGAAACUGACAUCUCAAACCCCAUCCCCUCCCAAGCCCACCAAGGAUCAUCAGGUGGAGACCAAGCUUGGGAAGGGGUACAGGACCACCAGGUAACACACAGAGAGCCCUCUGAGAGGGAUUUGGAGCGGGUUCUGAGAACUCUGAAUCCCAGAGAGUCAUCUUAUUGGCCCCAGGACCAGGUCCUUUGCUGACAGGGUGUGGAG